rnacentral:RNase_P_RNA from 1 species
GCGGAGGGACGUCCCAUCGCUCUUUUCUUUAGAGAAAAGGGAGGAAAGUCCGGGCAGGAAAGGGCAAGGUCCUGUGGAAAGCACAGGUAGCCGUAAGGUUACGGAUCGUCUGACAGAAAACAACCGCCGACGGGUCUUUUGACCCGGGCAAGGGUGAAAAGGUGGAGUAAGAGCCCACCGUGACGGUUGGCGACAGCCGUUGACGCAGGCACCGACCUCCUGCAAGGCCAAGUAUACCGGCAAUCUCAGAGCGGCCCGUUCUGUGCCGGGGGGUAGGCUGCUUAGACAAAUGAUGGGAGUUGGACAGAACCCGGCUUACAGGCCCUCCGCUUUU